rnacentral:rRNA from 1 species
AACGAACGCUGGCGGCGCGCCUAAUACAUGCAAGUCGAGCGAGAAGGUGUAGCAAUACACUUGUAAAGCGGCGAACGGGUGAGGAAUGCAUGGGUAACCUACCCUCGAGUGGGGAAUAACUAGCCGAAAGGUUAGCUAAUACCGCAUACGUUUCCGGAACUUCGGUUUCGGAAAGAAAGCAAUACCGUGGGUAUUGCGCUCCUGGAUGGGCUCAUGUCCUAUCAGCUUGUUGGUGAGGUAACGGCUCACCAAGGCUUCGACGGGUAGCUGGUCUGAGAGGACGAUCAGCCACACUGGCACUGCGACACGGGCCAGACUCCUACGGGAGGCAGCAGUAAGGAAUAUUGCGCAAUGGACGAAAGUCUGACGCAGCGACGCCGCGUGGGGGAUGAAGGUCUUCGGAUUGUAAACCCCUUUCGGGAGGGAGAUGGAGUGGGUAACCACUUGGACGGUACCUCCAGAGCAGCCACGGCUAACUUCGUGCCAGCAGCCGC